CGGGUAGGAAGUGUUGUAGGAACAACAGUCGGUUCCUUCCAGUGGGUUCGGGGUCUCGCUGACUUCCAGAAUGAAGCCUCGGACCCUCGCAGUGAGUGUUACAGCUCUUAAAGAUGGCACGAACUCAAAGAAUAAACUCAAGAUUUACUGUGAAGACUGAAAAGCCAAAAAAUAAAUUUUCCACAGCGUUGAAGGGGACCCAAGCAGAUUGCCGCUGCUGGCUGGGAGAGGCUAUGUUGGGUGGUGGGGAUGGGGUUGGCCAGCUUUUAUUCCGUUAUUUGCCCCCGCCCAUGUUCCAUUUCUGUCCUAUCAGAAUGCCCUUUUUUCAAUCCUCC
rnacentral:lncRNA from 1 species